UACGGGGGGAGCAAGCGUUGUUCGGAUUUACUGGGCGUAAAGGGCGCGUAGGCGGCCAGCACAAGUCAGUUGUGAAAUCUCCGAGCUUAACUCGGAAAGGUCAACUGAUACUGUGCGGCUAGAGUGCGGAAGGGGCAACUGGAAUUCUUGGUGUAGCGGUGAAAUGCGUAGAUAUCAAGAGGAACACCUGCGGCGAAGGCGGGUUGCUGGGUCGACACUGACGCUGAGGCGCGAAAGCCAGGGGAGCGAACGGG
rnacentral:rRNA from 1 species